rnacentral:rRNA from 1 species
GAUGAACGCUAGCGGCAGGCCUAAUACAUGCAAGUCGAACGGUGUCUUCGGACAUAGUGGCGCACGGGUGCGUAACACGUAUGCAACCUACCUUACAUUGGGGGAUAGCCUUUCGAAAGGGAGAUUAAUACCGCAUAAGACAGUAACUAGGCAUCUAGUAGCUGUUAAAGAUUUAUCGAUGUAUGCUGGGCAUGCGUCCAAUUAGCUAGUUGGUGAGGUAAAGGCUCACCAAGGCAAUGAUUGGUAGGGGAACUGAGAGGUCAAUCCCCCACACUGGCACUAAGAUACGGGCCAGACUCCUACGGGAGGCAGCAGUAGGGAAUAUUGGGCAAUGGACGCAAGUCUGACCCAGCCAUGCCGCGUGCAGGAUGAGGGCGUUAUGCGUUGUAAACUGCUUUUAUACAGGAAGAAACGACUCUUGCGAGAGGCAUUGACGUUACCCACAGAAAAAGCACUGGCUAACUCUGUGCCAGCCGCCGCAGUAACAC